CCAUUGAGGGCAUGCUUACCAUGCAGUCGAACGGCAGCACGGGUGCUUGCACCUGGUGGCGAGUGGCGAACGGGUGAGUAAUACAUCGGAACAUGUCCUGUAGUGGGGGAUAGCCCGGCGAAAGCCGGAUUAAUACCGCAUACGAUCUCUGGAUGAAAGCGGGGGACCUUCGGGCCUCGCGCUAUAGGGUUGGCCGAUGGCUGAUUAGCUAGUUGGUGGGGUAAAGGCCUACCAAGGCGACGAUCAGUAGCUGGUCUGAGAGGACGACCAGCCACACUGGGACUGAGACACGGCCCAGACUCCUACGGGAGGCAGCAGUGGGGAAUUUUGGACAAUGGGCGAAAGCCUGAUCCAGCAAUGCCGCGUGUGUGAAGAAGGCCUUCGGGUUGUAAAGCACUUUUGUCCGGAAAGAAAUCCUUGGCCCUAAUACGGUCGGGGGAUGACGGUACCGGAAGAAUAAGCACCGGCUAACUACGUGCCAGCACGGGCCGGUAAA
rnacentral:rRNA from 1 species